rnacentral:rRNA from 1 species
CUAGUAACGGCGAGUGAAGCGGCAACAGCUCAAAUUUGAAAUCUGGCUUCGGCCCGAGUUGUAAUUUGUAGAGGAUGCUUUGGGCGCGGCUCUAACUGAGUUCCCUGGAACGGGACGCCACAGAGGGUGAGAGCCCCGUAUAGUUGGAUGCCUAGCCUGUGUAAAGCUCCUUCGACGAGUCGAGUAGUUUGGGAAUGCUGCUCUAAAUGGGAGGUAAAUUUCUUCUAAAGCUAAAUAUUGGCCAGAGACCGAUAGCGCACAAGUAGAGUGAUCGAAAGAUGAAAAGCACCUUGAAAAGAGGGUUAAAUAGCACGUGAAAUUGUUGAAAGGGAAGCGCUUGUGACCAGACUUGGGCCUGGCGGAUCAUCCGGUGUUCUCACCGGUGCACUCCGCCAGGCACAGGCCAGCAUCGGUUCUCGUGGGGGGAUAAAGGUCCCGGGAACGUAGCUCCUCCGGGAGUGUUAUAGCCCGGGGCGUAAUGCCCUCGCGGG